UGAGGGAUAUUGGUCAAUGGGCGCAAGCCUGAACCAGCGACGCCGCGUGGGUGAAGAAGGUCUUCGGAUCGUAAAGCCCUUUUCCCACUGAAGAGGAAGGACGGUAGGUGGGGAAGAAGUCUCGGCUAACUACGUGCCAGCAGCCGCGGUAAAACGUAGGAGACAAGCGUUAUCCGGAGUUACUGGGCGUAAAGGGCGUGCAGGUGGCGUCUUAAGUCUGUUGUGAAAGCGCCUGGCUUAACCGGGCGAGGCCAAUGGGGACUGAGAGGCUGGAGGACGGCGGAGGGGUGUGGAAUUCCGGGUGUAGUGGUGAAAUGCGUAGAGAUCCGGAGCAACACCAGAGGCGAAGGCGGCACUCUAAGCCGUACCUGACACUGAGACGCGACAGCACGGGGAGCAAACG
rnacentral:rRNA from 1 species